AACAAAAACAUGGCCUUUUGGGUGGAAUUUAAGGUCGGGCCUGCCCACUGACGUAGUUGAAGGGCCGCGGUAUUUUGACCGUGCAAAGGUAGCAUAAUCAUUAGUCUUUUAAUUGAGGGCUGGAAUGAAUGGUUUGACGAAAUAUUAACUGUCUCUUUAUAAUAAAUAGAAUUUAACUUUUGAGUCAAAAGGCUUAAAUGAAUAUAAAAGACGAGAAGACCCUAUAGAUCUUUAUAUAGUUAAGUAAUUGUUUUAUUUAGUUGUUUUAUUUUCAAUUAUUUUGCUGUAUUUUGUUGGGGUGACAUAAAGAUAAAAAUAACUCUUUAUAAUGGGAACAUUGAUUUAUGAGUGAUUGAUCCGUUACUAACGAUUAUAAGAUAAAGUUACCUUAGGGAUAACAGCGUAAUUUUUUUUGAGAGUUCUUAUCGACAAGAAAGAUUGCGACCUCGAUGUUGGAUUAAGGAAUAUGAUUAGGUGUAGCAGUUUAAUUAAUAAGUCUGUUCGACUUUUAAAUCCUUACGUCAUCU
rnacentral:rRNA from 1 species